rnacentral:rRNA from 1 species
AGUGAACGCUGGCGGUAGGCCUAACACAUGCAAGUCGAACGGCAGCACAGUAAGAGCUUGCUCUUACGGGUGGCGAGUGGCGGACGGGUGAGGAAUACAUCGGAAUCUACUUUUUCGUGGGGGAUAACGUAGGGAAACUUACGCUAAUACCGCAUACGACCUACGGGUGAAAGCAGGGGAUCUUCGGACCUUGCGCGAUUGAAUGAGCCGAUGUCGGAUUAGCUAGUUGGCGGGGUAAAGGCCCACCAAGGCGACGAUCCGUAGCUGGUCUGAGAGGAUGACCAGCAAAACUGGAACUGAGACACGGCCCAGACUCCACCGGGGGGCACCGGUGGGGAAUAUUGAACAAGGGGCGAAAGCCUGAUCCAGCCAUCCCGGGGGGGUGAAGAGGGCCUUGGGGUUGAAAAGCCUUUUUGUUGGAAAAAAAAAGCAGCAGUUUAAUACCCCGCUGUUCUGACGGUACCAAAAAAAUAAGCCCCGGCUAACUUCGUG